UGCUAAAAGCACAUCCGAGCAUGAUUGUUGCCAGGGCCACGGAUUGGCUCCCAUGCCGGUGGCAUGUAAAAUGCACCAUUCGAGCUUGAUCGUUGCCAGUGUUACUUUACCGGCACAUGUGCCUGUGGCACAUGAAAUAUAACAUUCGAGCAUGUUUUUGUUGC